GUCCACGCCGUAAACGAUGGAUGCUAGCCGUUGGCGGGUUUACUCGUCAGUGGCGCAGCUAACGCAUUAAGCAUCCCGCCUGGGGAGUACGGUCGCAAGAUUAAAACUCAAAGGAAUUGACGGGGGCCCGCACAAGCGGUGGAGCAUGUGGUUCAAUUCGAAGCAACGCGAAGAACCUUACCAGCCUUUGACAUGCCUCGUAUGGUCGCCAGAGAUGGCUUCCUUCCCGCAAGGGGCGAGAGCACAGGUGCUGCAUGGCUGUCGU
rnacentral:rRNA from 1 species